CAGGUUCAGAGGGCCCAAACCAAGGCUGAAAAGUAACAGAGCAAGUGGAAUGUGCAGUCACGUCACUUGUGUCCCAUAAUGAGCUACUUGGACAUCACAGAUGCACAAUGACAGCCAAGCGGUUUAUUAUUUUUUUUCUCUGGGACUGCUGGUGUGUCUUUAAAACAUUGCAAGUGUGUGUAAAAGGGCCGUCUCUGGACUCCGGCUGCUCAGUGAGGUUUUAAUGUAGAAGAAGCAGAGGGAGCUGACAGGCAUGGCGACCUUGCCUCCUCACGUUACAUGUAGGAAAUCAUGAGAAACAGCCUACAAAGCCCUGACGCCAUGAGUGAAUCGAGCCCUAACGUUAAUGGUACUACUACUCAACGAUAAUUUUGGAUUCGUGGUGGUGUGAGGCCUGUUUUGCUUGGUGUUCUUCGUCCACUGCCCGCUGGUAGAAAACAUCCCAUGUAACUUCGAUGCCUUCCUGCAGAGCCAAACAAGCCGGAGACGAGGAGUCCUCAUUCGAUGACCUGUGCUGUAACGACGAGGCUGCUGAGGAAGGAAAAAGUCCCAUAGUCAGGGAGAUCAUAAUGAGAUCCACGCAUCAUUUAUCUUUGCAGCCAUUUUCCCCUCAAUGGACUUCCUCUGGAUCCCCACAGAACCUCCUCUAAUGCUAAGUGAACUGAAACACUUCAUAUUAAUCAUCAUUAAUAAAAGCAUAUCUGCUCCAAUAAGAACAGACGGGAUAUCUGCUGCUGGACUAAUGAGAGCCGCCAUCACUGUGCAGAUACACAUUGUUAGUGCAUAAAUGUUAUUCCUGUCCAUCUUUACCUGGUCUCCUUAUGUCUUCUCCCUGGCGACCCCUUAUAACAUGACAUCAGAUGUACAACCUCAUAUUGGACUUUUGUUUCAUUUAUUGAUUAAUCUGCCAAUUGCUACUGUAUUGAGUGUUUGGUCAAUGAAUUGUAAGAAAAUGAUGAAAAAUGUUAAUUUGAUUUUGUGUUUAGUUUUCUGUUGUAGAAGAGGAAAAACACCAGAAAAUAUUCACAUUUGAGGAGCAGAAAACAGAACAUUUGACAUCUGACAGUGCUAUAGUUCGUUAUUUUUAUGGCUGACAACAAAUCAAUAAUUUCAAUUCAGUCGUAUCAACUGGCAUUUUCUUCUUUACAGCUCAAAAAAUGGGUUUUGACUAACAGCAUGCUUAAAAUGGCUUUAAAAGAUAAAUCACAAGAACAUCUCUUUUCAAGAAUGCAGUCUACUCCAUUAGCGGUUCUGGAAGCUUUCAGUCAUGUCACAAGAUCUUUAUCUGCAGUCAGAUGCAACAAGAAGUCAAAUUUCACAGGCUCACAGUAAAAAAAAUUGCAUUUCAAAAAUCUUUGCGUGACAUCAGGGCAUGCGUCGAUGAAGACCAUGUGAUAUGACUGCAAGAUUCAGAGCUGUUUUUUCUGGAGCGUUGAAAAAAAAAAGGCUUCUCAGUAAUUUGUUCAACCACAUGGCCACGAGAACGUAAAUAAAUGGAGCUCGAGUUAAACUGACCAGUGUCUACAAGAGAGGGACAAAUAACAGUGAAAAUAAAAGCUACAACACAAACCUCUCUGCCUCAUUACCUUUCUUUGACGCUCUCCUAGAUAACAGACAUCACAUUUAAGAUGAUCAGAUAUACAAAUCAAAUUCACUCGAGUUUAACAUCUCCAUUCAUUUGGCGAUCACAUGAGUUAUAAAGGACAACAUCUCUGUAGACGUUAAUUACCUCAGCCAUGAUUUGACACCUUAAAGUGUUGAGAGAGAAAUGUACAGAAAUCUUUCAAAGUGAUGGCAGCAUGUUAAAAUAAGCCCCCUACUCUUUGCUUUAGCUUUACACACAUUUUAAAAAAUCAUGUAAAACAAGUUACAUUAAAAUAAUUGCAGUAAUGUAGUCCGUUUAUUUCUGAUAUUGGCUCAGUACGGCUGUUGUAUUUAAGUAACGAUCAACCAAGCCCUGUACAAGGCCGCACUCUCUCUUUGUUUCACUAAAACAUGUAAUUAUGCUGCUUCAUUUAAUUAACAUAUAUGAGAACAGAGCAUAAGACACAGACAGGGUGAAAUAACACAGUGUCUCUGGAUAACAGUGAACUCAUUGUCAACACAUUAUCAGAAAAACUAGACAAAGUGCUCAAUAUUGAAAACAAGGUCUGUUUAUUACUUAUUGCAAAGUAAAAUGUGAAAACCUGCUCAUGUCCCACUGUUUGAUGAAUUCAUCAUUCCUUGGAUUUACAGCAGUGUUUCUUGCACUUCCGGACUGUUUGCUUUUGCUACAUACACCUGAUCUGUGUUAAGAAGCCUGGACUGUUGAGCAGUAAUAAAGAGCAGAGAUUCGUCUGUUUGUCUCCUACCGUUUCCUGUUAAAAUAAUAGCCCUACAUGUUUAAAACCAGAAUCAGAAACUUCAACAUCGCUCAAUGGCUCAAAGCACUUUUAGAAGAUCCCCUCCAGCCACAUUUUAAACAAGAAAAUAUUUUUGUUUGAAUAACUGAUCGUGAUAAUUGUCAUUAUGAAGUGUUUUUCCAAAAAAAGGUCAAAUAACCAGAUUGAAUAUGACAAAAAUCACACCUGUUUUUUUUGUUUUGUUUUGUUUUUUUACCUCAACAGAAAAAUCCAUGAAUGUGUGAAUAUGCCAAUGAUGUAAAUAUCAAUGGUUUACAGCUGAACAACAGAUGUGAAUGGUAUGUCCAAGUGUUUAACAGAGAGUUCAGGUGAGCACAGAGAAUGUGUGAAAACAAACCCAUCAUCCUGCAGAGUGAUGCUCAAACAUCACAGUGAAGAAAAACACAUUUGACUGUAGAGGGAUCUCUAUUUAAAUCCCACAGGAGAGGCCCACUGACCUUACUCUCACUGCAGACUUGUUGGGGGGACAGUUGUGGCUAAAGAAUGGGAGAGUGUUUAUUAAUAUUCCACUUUUUUUCCAAAAUGAUCUAGUAACUUUAUUUCCCUCUCUUGCAGUUACACAGAGAUGACAAAGGUUGGAUGGGCAGUUUGUUGUGAAUAAUGAUUUAGAGACAAAAGUAAGUGGUGUUUGCUUUUAAAGAAAAGAGUCAAAUCAUUAAAGGCCGGUAAAGAGUCAGUAAGGGGACCUUGAGAUGGGAAAAAUUGGGGAAACUGAGAUUUCAAGUUCAAGAAUAACCUUUAAUGCUAUUAAAGUGUUUUUGUUUUAUUUUUAAAUCCCCAUUUAGUUUCACUUAAACAGAGCAGAGAGUCUUUAAUUUUGCCUCUUUUUUCCAUUGCAAACUGGAGUUUGCUGUAUUGGUAUAUGUCAUGCUCAGACAGAAUUCGACAUGUUUUCUUCGAAAAUUAUCAAAUUGCCAAUUUCACUCCACAGGCCCUGGUUUGGUCUGAGGGUUUCAAUCAUCUCUGCAGCCUCAAAAAGCCUGUUUUUCGUUUGGAAGAUCCAAACACUCAGGACUGGAGGCCCAAAUUGUUCUUAUCCACAGCAACAAUCUAACACUUACAUGUAUUUAAAAAAAAAAAAAAAAACUAAAUAUGUUUGAAUUGACUGGAGGGAAAUGCGAAUAAAAUGAUUUGAAGGUCAUGCAGAACAUUUCACCACACAGAUUGAACAAUGCAGAGUAUAAAAGUUUUGAAAUUCUGCAAAUUGAAAAGAAAAUAAUUGGAGGCUGAAUGUGGCAAACAUGUGAGUUCAAGUUAUUUAACAGCAUGGCCUCAAACCACUCUGCUUCAGUCGGAGAGGUUGAAUGUUAACAGCAACACUCUCAGUCAAAAUACAAAAUCAAAUACCUUGUCUCUGCUCCACUUCCUGCUCGGACGGAAACAGGAUGUGCUCACAGCGACUGAGUGCAGCAGCCUCGCUUGACAGAGAAAGUCAUUCUGCACAUUUUGCCUGCUACAUUCAGAUGCUGUGUUGUACAGAUGUUUUACAGAAAUGUGUAUAAAUGUGUUUCCCGAAACCAGCAGCGUGGAACUUUUUCUUAUCUAUCACUUCAAAACAAUCCCCCAGUGGAUAAUAUGACUGAAAAAGUACAGAAGCAACUUCAGAAAGAUGUUCUAACGGUUAGUGUCCAGAGGACUGGUCAGUGUCGGUGGUUAAUUUUUGUAUACAUGUGUGUGUAAUAGCAUUUUACUUCACCAUAUUUUCAGCGUCAGAUCUUAAUCUGCAAGCAACAACUGACUGUGUCGGUCAAAUCCACAUAUCUCAAUAUUACAAACUCUAAAUAUUCCAAAAUUGCCCUAUGAACUGAAACACAGGUGCUGAUUGGAAACACUGGAGGACUUGAUCACUUUCCACUGCUGCUUCAGUCACAGUUGCUGUAACAUAGUGCAGUGACACACAGGAGGUUUCCUCAGUGGUCAAGUUAAAACAUCUGUGUGAGGUGAAACACGGUGAAGAGUUCACUGAUCAGACUGGGCUCAUGUUUCACUGCACAACACUGGGAUAACGUUUCUAGAGAGGAGCUUUCAUGCUGAUCAAGUGUUUAGAAUCAAGAAUCAUGCACAACUGUCCACACACACAUCUUACAAGUAAAACAGAAAGAGCAGAGGACCAAUGUCAACGAAUCAAAAGCUCUAAUUUAGGUGCGCACGUGGACAACAUCAGAACGGAUGAAACGGGUGUGUGUGUUACACAGAGAGGGACCCGACACACACACACACACACACAGCAACAUCAAAAUGUCCAACCAUGAGUGAGGACAGGAACAAGAGUGCUGGUUAGAGACGCUGCAUGUGAAGUGAAGUGAUCUCAGUAGGUGAUCUGACGCAGACCCGCUCUUGAUCUCUGAGGAUCUCACUGCGAGGAAACUGAAGCUGCAUCCCGACAUUUUGAACAAAGAUUAAAACCGUGAACUGCUUCAAGUCAGUCAAAAAAAAAAAAA